rnacentral:misc_RNA from 1 species
AAGUCGUAACAAGGUCUCCGUUGGUGAACCAGCGGAGGGAUCAUUACAGAGUUGCAAAACUCCCAACCCUUUGUGAACGAACCUACUAGUUGCUUCGGCGGCAGACUCCUCUGGGGCCUAGCCUUUACGGGUACCCCGCCGGAGUCCUACAAACUCUUGAUUUUUUGGCAUCUCUGAGUAGCUUAUAAAUAAGUUAAAACUUUCAACAACGGAUCUCUUGGUUCUG